AAAUGUAAAGAAAGAGCAUGAUCAUGAGAUUUCAGAGGAUGACAUCAUAAAGAGGGUACAACCCAGCUCAAGGUGCUCCUUAGUUAUUCAUGGCUCCCAGCCUGAACCGGGUUGCAGGUUCAUGUAUGACAAGAUUGAAGACAAGUUCAAUUUCCUUGAAAAUCGCAUUAGAAAGCAUGCAACAGCACUUGUUGCUUCUGGUCUGUUUGAGGAACCAAUUGACCCUAUAGUUGCUUCACAGAAAAGUGUAUUUGCAGUUGGCAUGAUCUGCUGUGAAGAAGAAGGCCGUUUGAAGGAGAAGCCUGUCUUGCUGCAAAGCAGAUUAUUGCAGCAGGUCCUUUUACCACAACUGACAACUUGUUCUUUGAACCUCUAACUGAGCUGCUAGCAUAUGCACAAAGAAAGCAGCCUCAGUUGCUUUUAUUGCUGGGACCAUUUAUUGAUUCUGAACAUCCAGAGAUUAAGAAAGGAGCAGUAAACAGGACCUUUGACGAAAUAUUUCGUCUUGAAAUCCUUGGAAGGGUAUCUAUCUAUCUACACUAGAUAAUUUUGCCUGUUUGAGAAGAUUUUAUCUUUCUUUUUUUUUAAAAUUUUUUUUCCCCCAAUGGUUUAUGUGGAAUACAUGGGUUCUGCUGCACGUGUGACUCUCGUGCCAUCUAUACGGGACGCAAAUCAUGACUUUGUUUUCCCUCAACCUGCUUUUGAUAUUCAGCAAGCCGAUCUCAAACAUCAGGUAUGCAUGAUUCUACUAGACUAGGGGAAGCCCACCUUUGAAC